GGGGGGAAGGUAUAGUGGUAGAGCAUGUGCUUAGCAUGCAUGAGGUCCUGGGUUCAAUCCCCAGUACCUCCA
rnacentral:tRNA from 1 species